UUACUUGCCAGGGAGCCUGAAGUUUUCAUUAUCUGAAUUUCACCUUGGAAUUAGAGGGAAGAAAUUGGAUAGUGUUGUCUUCUGAAGGCACUAUUCAGAUGAAUCCACAAGAACUCGGAAGAAGAGAGGGAAUGCACUGAAGAAACUCAUUUACCCUUGUCCUAUUACCAAAUAUUUAUUUUUUUUAAGGAGCUAUCAACACAAAAGACACAGAGACCCUGGCUCUGAAUGAAUGAGGUCAUUAGAAGGAAUAAAGUGUGUCUUGACAGAAGAAAGGAAUAAAUCAGUAAGGAAAGUAUAAAGAUAGAGAAAAAAUUAUCAGGAAGUGAGAACGAGGCGGGAGGAAAACGAGAAUGAAUGUGAAAUGACUCAGUGGGACCCCCAAAAAGACAAGACUGGGCAGUAUUGGAGUGACACACAGAUAUGAAGCUCUUUCCACACCUGAAGGAUCCUGACAUUUGAAGAAGUGGAAUUCCACACUUCACAGGAUGGGCAGCAGUUACAGUCCCUAACUGUGAGGCAAGCCAGCUUGUUACUGACCCCAGGAGGAGGUACCUGCUUGGUCCACGUGUUUGUG
rnacentral:lncRNA from 1 species